CUCUGGUUGGCGGCGGCCUCUGGGGAGCCCCUUCCAGGCUUUGAUGUUCUCCAUAUCCCCCUGAAGUCAAGACUAGGUGGUCUUUCAAUCUGAAAUGUGGCAAUUGCCAGAUGUUGAUGCAGUUUGGGCUUUGUGGCCCUCGAACUACAGUUUAUCCUGGCAGCGUUGAGUCACGUGGACUGGCUACCUGCCACUGUUUGUAGAAUUCAUUCAUUGGACUUCUUAUCAAUCAGACAUUCCUUUCAAGAAAAUAUCAUUAGCUAUUUUGGCACCCUCUAAUCUUUGGGUUUAUAUCAUCUUGUUCAGUUCUUUAAUACUCUCAGUAUUUAAGGAAGUAAUUGUGGCAUGUAUGCCCUUUCUAAUGCACCUUCUUGUUUAGAAACCUAAUUUAAACACUACUUGGGAAACAGGCAGCGGUAGACAAAGGGGGUUGCAGUAAGUUUUGUAAGCAACAUUCUGUUACUCCUGAACGGUUUUUGCAGAGGCCAAGUACUGCUAAAAUUAUUUUUGCCAGAAUUCACGGUGUGGAUUCGCUCUGCUGGAUCUGGAUGCACUGCAUCCCCGUGGUCAUCUGGGCAGUACUACAGUCUUCCAUUCUUCAAAAAGUGAAAAAGACUUCUAUGGGUACCUACGACCUCCAGUUCUCCAGGGUCAAAGAGCUUUGUCUUCUGACAAAUGGCAUUUAAGAAUGAAUACUUCCAGCUGUGAUCUUACUGUAUUUCAUAAGAUGGGAGAUUUCCAGAAGU